rnacentral:snRNA from 1 species
CUGAGGUUACAGCUUCAGGAUUUGUCUAGCAGGUUUUCAGGUUUUCACCCUGGAAAUGCCCCC